rnacentral:rRNA from 1 species
UAGACCGCCUGGGGAGUACGGCCGCAAGGUUAAAACUCAAAUGAAUUGACGGGGGCCCGCACAAGCGGUGGAGCAUGUGGUUUAAUUCGAUGCAACGCGAAGAACCUUACCUGGUCUUGACAUCCACGGAAGUUUUCAGAGAUGAGAAUGUGCCUUCGGGAACCGUGAGACAGGUGCUGCAUGGCUGUCGUCAGCUCGUGUUGUGAAAUGUUGGGUUAAGUCCCGCAACGAGCGCAACCCUUAUCCUUUGUUGCCAGCGGUCCGGCCGGGAACUCAAAGGAGACUGCCAGUGAUAAACUGGAGGAAGGUGGGGAUGACGUCAAGUCAUCAUGGCCCUUACGACCAGGGCUACACACGUGCUACAAUGGCGCAUACAAAGAGAAGCGACCUCGCGAGAGCAAGCGGACCUCAUAAAGUGCGUCGUAGUCCGGAUUGGAGUCUGCAACUCGACUCCAUGAAGUCGGAAUCGCUAGUAAUCGUGGAUCAGAAUGCCACGGUGAAUACGUUCCCGGGCCUUGUACACACCGCCCGUCACACCAUGGGAGUGGGUUGCAAAAGAAGUAGGUAGCUUAACCUUCGGGAGGGCGCUUACCACUUUGUGAUUCAUGACUGGGGUGAAGUCGUAACAAGGUAACCGUAGGGGAACCUGCGGUUGGAUCACCUCCUUACCUGAAAGAAGC